GCUCCCUUCUGUCGCUGCUAUCCCCUAACCCUUUUGCUGCAGCUCUCUCUGGCGCCGCUCCCUUCCUCGUCCAGGGGCCCUUCCAUUGAUGCUUCAUUGUUGGUUUUGAGAGCAGAUUGCGUUGAAGAAUAUGAUGGAGGAAUUGAACAAGAGAAUCUCUGAUUUAGAAGAGAGAAUUGCAAAGGAAGAAUCAGAUAAACUGGAAGCAGAUAAUCGUUAGAGAAGAAAAGGAAGCAAGGAAUGCGGCUGAGAAAGUUUGUAAAGAGAAAUCAGCUGAGCUUGAGCGGAUUCAGGACAAGAAAUCAGCUGCCGAGCGAAUGGGGUAAUACUGUGCUAUAUUCUAGAAAGAAUAGUCAUUGAUAAACUGGUCUGUCAGGCAAAAAUAUUUCUCUCUUGGGUUAUUCCUCAAUUUAUUUAAUACUGCUAGUCAGUUAUGUGAUUCCUGGUGAUUCCCUCAUUGUUAUUUAUUUAUUAUUUUUUUUUGAAACUGUUGA